rnacentral:misc_RNA from 1 species
UUGCGUUCUCAUAGCCUAAUAACAACGAAUCCGUAAAGCAACGAGCGUCGUAAAUCAAAACGAGCCUGAAACAAGCAGGUACAGCUGCACAUCCAGAACAAAACAUGUAUUCUCCAUUCUGCCAUCGAAUAUUCAGAGAGGCUUUUAACAAUUCAUCAAUGCCGACGGUGGUCGGGCUUUACGUGUAACCCUUACCUAGGCAUUUUACGAUUUUCCUGUCAGCUACCCGCCAGAAUGUAUGACGGACACGUCGAUCAUAAAGCGAAUCGAUCUAUUGUACGCGUAAAUUUGUAAAAAUUUGAUCGUUUCGUCGUAGCGCCAUAAAGCGCAACGAUUUUUCCGAGAAGCGUCGAGAAACCUGGACAAACGAAGUACUGAAAUGUCGAACGAUUGAUAGAAACACGCUUCUUCUGAUUUCUCUCUACAUCGAAGUAAUCCAAAAGCGACUACAGCAAGGAAAUCCUCUCGAUACCGUACGUCGCACGUCU